UUGGAUUGUUUCUAGUAGCAUUUCUAGUCUUGAGAAUAAAGUUCACCUGUACUGUGGGCCUCCAGAUUAUUCAAUAGAAUCACUGUAUUACAUACCUUUUUGUCACUGUAGAAACUCAAAAAAUAAGCAAUUGUAAUGGGUAUGCUUAGGCCAUGCUUAAGAAUUCUAUGUUCCCAUCUGAGUCUUAGAUAUCAUUCCUACUGUUGAAAGAAUUAAAUGAAAGAAAAAAAUUUCAACUAAGACUAUCUCGUAGUGGGAAGCGGAACAUUAAAAUAUAGCAGUCAAGCUUGGUAACCCUCUAACUUUAUUCUAGAAAACCCAGUAAAAGUUACACAGUGAUUUUUUUUUUUUAGAAAAACCUUAAGUCCUGCCAGGAAAUUCUUAAAACUCAGUUUCUUAUGAUGGUAUAAAUCCCUCCAUAACAUUUUUUUAUUCCUACUUAGAUUCUUGCACUAUAAUUUUUCUAUAUUGUUAAAGAUUAUUCUUUGUACUUUCUAGAAGCAAAUUCACUGGAUGAAAUUCCAUCUCUUUAAAACAAAGGUCUUUCCUUGAAAAAGAAGAGAAUCAGAAAAUCUCAUUCAUUCUUAAUAUUAAUAAAAUGCUCUGUUAUUUGAGAGAAAUUAGAUUGAUAUAAAGCAAUUUGGAUCUGCUUGAGCUGUAAAUGUAGGCUUCACUGGCUUUGAUUUCACCCUUCCCAUGUCAUCACCUAACACUCUCAGCCAAUCUGAUAAUUUGUGGCACCAACCAAUCCCAUGAAUUAUAAGAAGUCUGAAACAAACAGAAUAAUUUACUAUUAUUUUUUAAAAUGUUUUGUGAGUUUCAUUUUGGGAUUUGUUUUCCCCAGAAGCUAAUAUAAGACAUUAUAAAAUGUGUCUAAGCACCUGACUGUGCUGGAUAAGAAAAAUAAAGAAAAAAGAUCAGUACUUCUCUGAGUUCAAUACUAACACCAAAUAAUUUUGGUAACCUUUGCCUUCCUAAUUUUUAGCUGCUGUCUCUCUGAAAAUCAGACUACUGGAUGAAAUAAGUACUUUUUUAAUGUACGGAAAACUGAAUAUAUUUUAAAGCUCUCUUGACAUAGGCUAGGUGUUCAUCCAUUCUGCUCUUAGUGUGUACACGUGUAUGGGAGUCUGAUGUAUGGUAGAGAUCAGAGUAGCAAGAAAAAGGUACAGAUAAUGAAAAAGAAAUGCAAUAUUCAGCUCUGUAAAUACCUCAACAUGAAGAUGCAAUGGUUAAAUUACUGAAAGACAAUCUCAAACCUCAAACGUUUUCAAAAGAUAUGCUGACGGGCUUCCCUGGUGGCGCAGUGGUUGAGAGUCCGCCUGCCGAUGCAGGGGACGCGGGUUCGCGCCCCGGUCCGGGAAGAUCCCACGUGCCGCGGAGCGGCUGGGCCCGUGAGCCACGGCCGCUGAGCCUGCGCGUCCGGAGCCUGUGCCCCGCAACGGGAGAGGCCACAACAGUGAGAGGCCCGCAUACGAAAAAAAAAAAAAAAAAAGAUAUGCUGACAAAGGGAAUAAGGUAAAUGUAACAAAAUGGAAAUAAGAACAAAGAAGAUUGGUGAAAAUCAAAUAGACAACUCUUAAUAUAAUUAAAAUAUCAUUGGUGAAGGCUAAUUUUGUUAAUGUUAAAAUGAAAAAUAAGGUGUUGACUAUGAUUCAAAGAGCGUUUUCAGAAGUCAUGGCACUGAACUAAAUACACACGUACUUAAUAAUGUCAAGGUGAAAAAGCCCUAAAACACUAAGUACAAUAUGUUCCUAUUUCCCUUAUUUUCUUAAAUUCUUCCAACAGAACGUCUGAAUGUCAAUCAUUAAUUUUUUUGGAAAUAUAAUAAUUGGAAAAAUACAGAUAAUUUUGCAUGAGUCUUUUAAAUAAAUGAAGCUUGCUUAGAUAUAUUGUGCAAUUUGAAUAUCUACUCAGAGGACUGAUGUUCCAAAAUAGCAUUUAAUUUGCACAGUAUGUCAUAGAUUACAUCAGUUAAAUUUAUUUAAAUUGCAAAAGUAUUGCACAUAUAUAUAUAUAUAGCAACCCUAUAGCUUUCUAUUUUCAUUUCUCUUUUUACCACAAACAUGAGAAGGAUGCUAGUGGCAAUGUAAUAUUUGGAGACACAUAGAUCUCGGAGUUAGUAAACACAUGUUAAAAGGAAUAAGUAUUGCUAUAUAUAAACUAUAAUACUGAUGAAUUUAUUAUUAUAGUUUGUUCUAUAUCAUAUGUACUCUGCUAUAAAAGAAAUAUUAAAAUUUAAACAGGUAUCAGAAAAUACAGAAAUUGAACACCCCAGAUCUCUUCCUUUUUGGAUUUUCUAAUGUAUUAUUGUUUGUAUUAUGCAACUUAAAACUUUUUCACGUGCAAUUAAAUUAAGGAUGGAGACAUACACACGUACCCUCAGCAUAGAGAAGAAUCCACACUCAACAAUGCUAGGCUUUCUUCUACCAUAACAUAGAUGAGUCUUCAUAUUGUUGCUUAUUUAAUGGUUUACUUUGCCAUAGACUAACCAUUGGUGAGGGAAGACUAUAUCCAUUUUUUCACUGCUGCAUCCCCAAUUCCUAGAACAUCAAUGGCAGACAGUCCUCAAAAUGUACUUGUUAGAAGGAUGCAUGAAUGGAUAACAUAAAUCAGAUAUAUGUGGGGAACAAAUAAAUUAGGGAUUUUGCAGUAUAGAAAAUGAAUCUGGAUCUGCAAAAAUACAAAAAAAUCAUCAUGGGUUUAAGGAGCAAAUGUCCUUUCUGAGAUUAAAAUAGAGUACUAUAAAUGAAAAGAGACAUUUUUAAGCAUUUGUAAGAACACAGAAUUUCAAGAAAAAUAAUGUUUUAUUUCACCACAUUUCAAUUAAAUGUAUAAAUUUUGUAUAUUGAGUUAGAUAUUUUAAUGUUAGCCCACUAAAUAACUAACACACCCUCUCUUUCCAUACAUUUUUUGUAGGGAGAGAAGGUAAUUGAGAAUCACCCAACUGGGAAGUCAUUUCACUGAAAGUUUCCUCAAAUGUUGAAAGAGAAAAUUAAGUGAACUAGAUGUACAGACAGACACAAGAAUGCUUGAGAGAUGGCCUGCACAAUCUAGAUUCCUAGAGACCACCACAACUGCCCAGCUGGAAACAGUCCUGGAGGACCCACCCAAUGGAGGAUCCAGAAUCAGGAGCAACUCUGCCCUGUGAUAUCUGAGAUGUGGUCCUGGAGAGUCCAGGCCUCUCUGCCCUUUGAGACUCUGUGCAUGAAAUACUCUGUUAUCAAUCUAACAGCUUUUCAUUUAUAAUUUAGCCGUAGCUCAUCACCUACCUCAGAGGGAUAGCAUGAAAUCUAAUGAGAUUGAGUCUAGAGGAUACUAUGAGCUUCUUGGAAGACAGACAGCCCAUAAAUAAUGCACUAAAUACUGGAAUGAUCUCCCGAGUUUUUCACUUUCAGAUUAACAAAUUUUUUAAAAAAGCUCUAAUAGCUUCAAAAUCAGAAAUCACUAAAUGCUUGCUUUUAUACUUUCCUUUUCGUAUUUAUGCACUAAAAUACUUGUUUUGGAAAACUUAAUGAUGUGGCAUUGACGUUAAGUUUGUAUUUUUCUUAUGUUCAUAAUUACAUAUGACUCUAUAGUCAAUAAACACUUUGUGAGACCCUAUUAUAUGUUAGUACUUUCCCACGCCUGAGAUCCAGAAGAAAGAAAGGGGAAAGAUCUGACUCUAGUUUAAGGAGAUGCUCAGUAUAAAAGGGAAAGGCUAGUGAUACCUUUUCUUAUGCAUAAUUCUUUUAGUUUUAUCUGCAUUUAUUACUUUUUUGAGAAAUAACCAGUAAUAAUACUCACUGUUUAAAAGAUUGUACAGAAAAGGUUCUAUCACAGAAAAUGCUUGAAAAUUACAAAAUGUCCAACUCUGAAUGUCCUUUAAAACCGCUUUAUACAUAUUUACCUAAGUCCCAACUUUAAUCCAGAAGAAUACAAGCAGGCACGUGAUGCAAGCAGAGGGCAUUUGGGGAGCAAACCAAGCCAGCCUUACCUGAGUGAGUCGUCACUGGGGCUGCUGAGAGUAUGGGACGCUCUGAAGGAGCACAGAGCCGCGGCUGAACAAUCGAACAUCUGCUAUUUCUAAGAGGUUUACACCCGAGCUGGAGUGAGCUCUCACAAAGCAAGCCCGUGAAGCCCGGCAGAGAUCGCAUUCGGACAAGGACGGUGUCAGCUUCCUCCCUCCACAUCUUCAGGGCCCCAGUCUCCACUGGCCAGGCACCAUUCAUCAGUGAACGCCUGGGUCUGCCAACCAGCUGUGAAUCAUCAUCAAACACAUCCUCCAGUCCUUCCUCCAAUACGUCCAUAAGGGUGUCAUGAGACUUUCCCAAAUAACUUGCUAAAAUUGAGGAUGAUUUAUUACACAGUUAUUAUACUUUCAGCCAAAGCUUACCUUUUACAUGUGUGUCCAGCCCCUUUACCUUGUAGACCAUAAUCUGACAUGCAUUCUCCUGGAAGGUAGCCUCAGGGCUUACCCACAGCGUCCAGCAUAGGGUAUGGCGUGGACUAAGUGCUCAGGACAGACCCAGAGAGUGAAAUCAUGGUGUCUGCGGUUCUCAGGAUUAGCGGCCCAGGAACAGAGAAGGCAGCACCCAUCAGUCACUGUGUUUUCAU